CUGCAACAGCUGUGCCGAAAAGAGGCCCGUUCAUCUUUUUCGGCUUGUCGCCUGGUCGUGUACUAAAGGAGCUGCUUAAGAAAGCAGCUGGUCGCGAGUGGCUCAAGCAGGAGAGAUGCGUCGUUGUCUGCAGGUCUUUUGGCGACAUGGAUACUUCCGACACGUGUUGAUAAAGUGAGAACUCGCUUCCUUGUAGUCGGCUCCUUAUAUGAGCGUCACGACGCAACACUAAAGAGCCAGGGAAGUCGAAUGCAAAGACACAUAUACAUGGCAGGUGCGUUAUUAGGACGAAGAGGGACACACAAGCCAGGUGGCACAAGAGCGGCGCAUCAUUUUCCACCUUACUCGCACAACUACAAGACCAACAAGAAGCUUGCUAGAAUACUUUCCACAAGCUCAGCCCUGGCCACCACAAGCACCUCGACCAGGAGAAAAGAGAUAGUGCCAUUUGGGUGUAACUAAUUUUG
rnacentral:lncRNA from 1 species